AUUGAACGCUGGCGGCAGGCCUAACACAUGCAAGUCGAGCGGAUGAAGGGAGCUUGCUCCUGGAUUCAGCGGCGGACGGGUGAGUAAUGCCUAGGAAUCUGCCUGGUAGUGGGGGAUAACGUCCGGAAACGGGCGCUAAUACCGCAUACGUCCUGAGGGAGAAAGUGGGGGAUCUUCGGACCUCACGCUAUCAGAUGAGCCUAGGUCGGAUUAGCUAGUUGGUGGGGUAAAGGCCUACCAAGGCGACGAUCCGUAACUGGUCUGAGAGGAUGAUCAGUCACACUGGAACUGAGACACGGUCCAGACUCCUACGGGAGGCAGCAGUGGGGAAUAUUGGACAAUGGGCGAAAGCCUGAUCCAGACAUGCCGCGUGUGUGAAGAAGGUCUUCGGAUUGUAAAACACUUUAAGUUGGGAGGAAGGGCAGUAAGUUAAUACCUUGCUGUUUUGACGUUACCAACAGAAUAAGCACCGGCUAACUUCGUG
rnacentral:rRNA from 1 species